rnacentral:rRNA from 1 species
CCUACGGGUGGCAGCAGUGAGGAAUAUUGGUCAAUGGGCGGAAGCCUGAACCAGCCAAGUAGCGUGCAGGAUGACGGCCCUACGGGUUGUAAACUGCUUUUAUACGGGAAUAACGCGCCUUACGUGUAGGGCUUUGCAUGUACCGUAUGAAUAAGGACCGGCUAAUUCCGUGCCAGCAGCCGCGGUAAUACGGAAGGUCCGAGCGUUAUCCGGAUUCAUUGGGCUUAAAGGGAGCGUAGGCGGGCGUUCAAGUCAGCUGUAAAAUCGCGCGGCUCAACCGCGCCCCGCAGUUGAAACUGGACGCCUUGAGUUCACAACAGGCAGGCGGAAUUCGUGGUGUAGCGGUGAAAUGCGUAGAUAUUAGGAGGAACACCAGUGGCGAAGGCGGUCUGCUGGACAGCAACUGACGCUGAGGCGCGAAAGCGUGGGGAGCAAACAGGAUUAGAUACCCCAGUAGUC